GUGAAUGUGUUUGUCUAUAUGUGACCCUGCGACAGACUGGUGUCCUAUCCAGGGUGUAUCCCUAUGACUGCUGAGGUAGGCUCCAACCCCCGUGAGUCGUGACCCUCACUUGGAGUAAGCAGUUGAAAAUGAGUGAGUGAGAUACUCUAUUGUAAUUGCAAUUUUUGUAAAUGGGAUUUUGCCUCAUAUGAUGCAACUGUCAAAGGUGAGGAGAACAUUUGGAGGUUUGGUUGCUAACAAUAUUUAAAUGAGACUAAAGUUGUACAAAUGUGACCUUGUCCAUUAAUGCUUCCUGUUGACUAAACUUUACUGAGAAAAAUUCCAUUGUACCUUCCAUUUGAGAUUGUACUAAUGCAGUUUUUUCUUUUUUUAGUUGUGUCAAAGUAAAGCCUGUCUAGUUGUGUCGUGAUAUUAAAAUUUCUGGUACAUCUGUCAAACUAAAAGUAUUUAACUUCACAAGAUAGAAACUGUACCUAUUUUCAAUCAUCAAUGAAUGGUCAUUUAAGGAAGUUUCCAAUUUGUCAUUUUUACUACAAAAUCAGCAUCAAUGAAUUUUCUCAAAGCCUGAUGGCAAAUCUUCAGAUUACAUCUGCCUGUGUCAUCACUUUCUGAAAGUAUUCCAUUUACAUUAAAUAAGGCUGAAUAUUUGAACAAAAUUUCCCUAGUCCCUUGCUACAAGACAUACAAAAAGUUAGGUUUCUCAUCAAGCUGUAAAUGAUUAGUUAUAUUUACUACAUUACUACUAGACGUCACAAUUUUCAAAGCAUUAGACUGAAAAUAACUUUCAAAAAGUUUUGGCAUGGUCACCGUUUUUGAGAACUCUCAGCAAUUCAUGUAGACAAAGUCUAAAACAUACUGUGCUGUUUAGUUUGUCAAAUUGCUUAUGGAUGCUCAAAACAGACAUACUACAUAUAGAAAUGGUCGUAAUUCCUAAAUGGUGGUGAUAGUUUUGUUAAA